GCCAGGCACAGUGGCGAAUGCCUGUAAUCCCAGCCUCUCGGGAGGCUGAGGCAGGAGGAUUGUGAGUUCAAAGCCAGCCUCAGCAACGGUGAGGUGCUUAGCAACUCAGAGAGACCCUGUUUCUA
rnacentral:sRNA from 1 species